rnacentral:misc_RNA from 1 species
UAACAAGUGUUUUAUGGCACUUUUUAAAUCCAUAUCCACCUUGUGUGGCAAUGUCAGUCGAUCUUCUUCAUGGAGAUCGACCAAACAUCAACCUUUAUCUUUUAACUCUUUGUCUGAAAAAUAUUAUGAAUAAACAAUUCAAAAUA